AAUUACUACAGGCAAGCACCACCAUCAUAUAGCUUUCUGUUUUGUUUUGUUUUUGAAACAGUGUCUCACUACUGUGCUGGCCUGGAACUUGCUUGUGUAGAUCAAGCUGGUUUCAAACUCACAGAGAUCCAGCUGUCUACCUCCUGAGUGCUGGGGCUAAGAAACCCAACAUAAGGGACGGUCUGUGUGCACACAAGAUGUGUGCAUG
rnacentral:lncRNA from 1 species